rnacentral:rRNA from 1 species
UACGUAGGGUGCGAGCGUUGUCCGGAAUUACUGGGCGUAAAGAGCUCGUAGGCGGUCUGUCGCGUCUGCUGUGAAAACUCAGGGCUUAACCCUGAGCUUGCAGUGGGUACGGGCAGACUAGAGUGCGGUAGGGGAGACUGGAAUUCCUGGUGUAGCGGUGAAAUGCGCAGAUAUCGGGAGGAACACCGGUGGCGAAGGCGGUUCUCUGGGCCUUACCUGACGCUGAGGAGCGAAAGCGUGGGGAGCGAACAGG